rnacentral:sRNA from 1 species
UCAUGCAAUCGAACUGUAUUUUGGAGGA